GUCUAUGGCCCUGCCACCCUGAGCAAGCCUGAAGUCUGAUCUCAGAAGCUAAGCAGAGUCAGGCCUGGUUAGUACUUGGAUGGGAAAGCAGCUAGGAAGACCAAGUUCUGUAAGCA
rnacentral:rRNA from 1 species